rnacentral:ncRNA from 1 species
UUAAAAACGAUGACGGAGAAAAGUAGCUUGAAGAUGGCCAUUCAGGGAGAAAAUGCCAAUGACUGAAAGCAUUUUUAUGGAACAGACGAGCGAAGUUCACCUCCAGAGUUGGCAUCGGGACCGCUUUUACAGAAGCGUAAAGAUGCAUCGGCACAAGCCGUUAUCCUAAUGAAGCGAACACGUGAUACAUAAUUGUAUUAUCUGUUAAAAAGGGUGGUACCGCGAUAACCUUAACCUCGUCCCUUUA